GAUGAACGCUGGCGGCGUGCCUAAUACAUGCAAGUCGAGCGAACAGACGAGGAGCUUGCUCCUCUGACGUUAGCGGCGGACGGGUGAGUAACACGUGGAUAACCUACCUAUAAGACUGGGAUAACUUCGGGAAACCGGAGCUAAUACCGGAUAAUAUAUUGAACCGCAUGGUUCAAUAGUGAAAGACGGUUUUGCUGUCACUUAUAGAUGGAUCCGCGCCGCAUUAGCUAGUUGGUAAGGUAACGGCUUACCAAGGCAACGAUGCGUAGCCGACCUGAGAGGGUGAUCGGCCACACUGGAACUGAGACACGGUCCAGACUCCUACGGGAGGCAGCAGUAGGGAAUCUUCCGCAAUGGGCGAAGGCCUGACGGAGCAACGCCGCGUGAGUGAUGAAGGUCUUCGGAUCGAAAAACUCUGUUAUUAGGGAAGAACAAAUGUGUAAGUAACUAUGCACGUCUUGACGGUACCUAAUCAGAAAGCCACGGCUAACUACGUG
rnacentral:rRNA from 1 species